rnacentral:rRNA from 1 species
AUGCAGCAUAUCACUAUCUUCAGCAGCAGCAGAGUUGGAGUUGGUGACGCCGCCAGCGGCAGCAGCAGCAUCACCACCAACGCAGGCAACAGCAGCAGCAGCAUCACCACCAUUCCUCUUGCUCUUGGGUGUACAGGAGCAAGAAAAGCAAUGGAGCAAGGUGCACCGGCGUGGGGCACCGGCAACAGCAGCAGCAGCAGCACCACCACCAUUCCUCUUGGUCUUGGGUGUAGGCGUGCAAGAAAAGCACUGUGCCAAGCUGUCAAGGGUGUGGCGAAGAGCACUACCGGCAUGGAGAGCUUGAUGGCGGACAAGGCUGUCCAGAUCCGGGCCGGCCUCUUGGGUCGUGGUGGCAUAGUUGGUGCCGUGGAGCCUGUCAUGGAUCUGAAAGUAGUGGAUCUCAUCGAGCAGGUCCUCCGCCUGGUCGGCGUUCUUGCUCAGCGCUGGCAGCAGGUCCUGCAGGCCAGGGUUGUCGCUCCCCUGGGCCUGGGCGUUGUGCAGCAGGCCUCGCGUGUGCGCGAGCUUGGCCUUGAUCUGCUGGGAGUUCUGGCCGAGCUCGAGGCUGUCCACGUACGCCGCCACCAGGGUGUCGGACAGCGUCGUCCACACCUUGCCGAGGACCGAGGCCGCCGAGCCGAGAGCCACCUCCAUCGAUCUGUGCUCCGCCUCGCCGGAGCAGUGGUGGAAGGAAGCAGCAGAAAGCGCAGCUACUAG